rnacentral:lncRNA from 1 species
UCCAUCUAUAUAUACUAAUAAGAUAUUCUUGAGGUUUUUCCUUAUUAAUUUUCAUACUAUUUUUUAAGUGAGAUUCAUUGCAAAAUAAGAUAGUAUUCUCUCUCUCAAUCACACCAUGUUGAUAAAUUUAGCUUUACUUCUAGCAACUAUGUUGUUUGUUCUGACGCCAAUGACCUAUAUAUUCUUGCAAAUUAAACGCUUAGAUGCCUUUUAAUUUCUUUAGUAUAUGAACUCAUAAACAAAACUUGCUCUUCAAUCAUUCAAAAGCUUAUCCAUUAAUUAUACCGCAGUGACAUGUUAACUACUUUUGUUUAUAGAUUUUGAAUAUAGAAUGAAAUAAUUAAGAAGCCGCCUGUGAACAACAGUAUGCUUAUAAGAAGAAGAAUGGUACACGUUAGGUAUGUGAGUACGUGGGAAUGCUUAGAAUCUUUGCUAAAGGAAGAUAAACACGGGCCAUGCUCAAUAUAUUCAAACCUACUCCUUGAAUAUAGUAGGGAUUAGAUAUCAUUUCCUUUCUUUCUUUCUUUCAAGUUUCAAUCACUACUUUUUUCUUUCCUUGGCUUUUUCCUCGUUGGUUUGCUUAACCAUUUAUGCAACGCUGCUAAUGAUUAAGGCAUCAUUCAACAUUUAUUUAGGGACAUUAAAUAGUUUAAGCAAAUAAUUAAACAACUCCCUUGAUCGAUCUAUUAUCUUCA